rnacentral:rRNA from 1 species
GAUGAACGCUGGCGGCGUGCUUAACACAUGCAAGUCGAACGAAGCACCUCCCCCGCAGUUUGACACAGCUUGCUGUAGAUUGAUUCAUUUGAGGUGACUGAGUGGCGGACGGGUGAGUAACGCGUGGGUAACCUGCCUCAUAGAGGGGGACAACAGUUGGAAACGCCUGCUACUACCGCAUAGUAAGAAGAAUUCGCAUGUUUUCUUCUUGAAAGAUUUAUCGCUAUGAGAUGGACCCGCGUCUGAUUAGCUAGUUGGUAAGGUCACGGCUUACCAAGGCGAAGAUGAGGAGCCGGCGAGAGAGAGUGAACCGCCACAUUGAGACUGAGACACGGCCCAAACUCCUACGGGAGGCAGCAGUGGGGAAUAUUGCACAAUGGGGGAAACCCUGAUGCAGCGACGCCGCGUGAGUGAAGAAGUAUUUCGGUAUGUAAAGCUCUAUCAGCAGAGAAGAUAAUGACGGUACCUGACUAAGAAGCCCCGGCUAACUACGUG